GAUGAAGAACGUAGCGAAAUGCGAUAAGUAAUGUGAAUUGCAGAAUUCAGUGAAUCAUUGAAUCUUUGAACGCACCUUGCGCCCUUUGGCUAUUCCGAAGGGCAUGCCUGUUUGAGUAUCAUGAACACCUCAACUCUCAUGGCUUGCCAUGAUGAGCUUGGACUUUUGGGGGUCUUGCUGGCCUGUGGUCAGCUCCUCUCAAAUGAAUUAGCCUGCCAGUGUUUGGUGGCAUCACAGGUGUGAUAACUAUCUACGCUUGUGGUUUUCCACCAGGUAACCUUCAGUGAUGAAGGUUCGCUGGUGCUCAUAAACGUCUCUCCUCAGUGAGGACAGCUCUUUGAACGUUUGAUCUCAAAUCAGGUAGGACUACCCGCUGAACUUAAGCAUAUCAAUAAGCGGAGGA
rnacentral:misc_RNA from 1 species